GGAACUAUAGCUCAGUUGUAGAGCAUCUGCUAAGGAUGCAGAAGGUCCCAGGUUCAAUCCCCAGCAUCUCCA